UCACUGACACCCAGUGACUCCCAGAUAGGCUGAUAGGCAAGACUCUGUGUUCCUCAUUCCCUACCCGUCAUGGGAGGAAAACGGUUGUUCCUGCCAGUGAUGUUUACAUCUAGACAGGGUCACCUCGGUAUAUGUAGCCAUGAGCCCAAAAACAAGGCUCUUGGGAGCCAUAAAAAAAAACGAAAGCUCCUUGCGAGAUCUGAAAACAGGAUUCUUUGAACAUCCUGACAUAGCCUCAUCAGAGCAGGAAAAAACAAGGCUAAUUACACUAUAAAAACACAGGAUGCUCAAACCAGGCAACAAGACUGGAUACUUUGACUAUCUAAGCACAGAUUACUUACCGAGGAGGUGCAACAGAUCUGGCGACUGGGUUUUGGCUGCCAUUAGCCACAUCAGUCCCCCAUGGCAGCCCUGACAUUGACAAGGGCUCUGGAUACAGGAGACUCGAUGUUGUGGAUUCUGCAUGCUGUCACCAGUCACAGGUGUGUACAGAGAGUGAUUUCAGAGCUUCGGGCCAGAGGGAAGUGGGGCUCUUAAAUUGCUUGGUUUCCAUAUAGAUGCAACACAGAGUAAAAAACUGUAGAGCAGGUUUGGCUGUACGAUACACUAAAUACCACUGCCUGUUCUAUAGGCUGUUCCAACUAGACUUAUAGCAUACUAUACAGUAUUAGUGUGAUGCUCUUGCGUGACAGAUAGAAAGGUGUGUAUUCUUCUGAUGUGCAUUACUUUAUAUUAUUUAUAAGUUACUUAGGGGGUGACAUGGUGGCAAGAGUGGUUAGCACUCUUGCCUCACACCUCUGGGACCUGGGUUCGAGUCUCCACCUGGAUCACAUGUGUGUGGAGUUUGCAUGUUCUCCCCAUGUCGUCGUGGGGUUUCCUCCAGGUACUCCGGUUUCCCCCCACAGUCCAAAAACAUGCUAAGGCUAAUUGGAGUUGCUAAAUUGUCCAUAGCUGUGUGUGUGUGUGUGUGUGUGUGUGUGUGCCCUGCGAUGGGCUGGCCCCCCAUCCUGGGUUGUUCCCUGCCUCGUGCCCAUUGCUUCCGGGAUAGGCUCCGGGCCCCGACCCAGUAGGAAAAACGGUUUGGAAAAUGGAUGGAUGGAUAAGUUACUUGGACUUAUUUGUAAGGUAUCCCGUUAUGAUUCUGUGACAUGAUCAGUCACUAGGUUUAGAUAAUUUGGACCAGCUUAAUAAAAAUCACUUUUGAGGACUUUUAUUGUUACAGAAGUGCCAAAAGAAAGCAAGAAAACCACAGAGCCUUGGGAGGCACAACUGAUUGUAGAAGGCAUUGGAGCUUUUCCUAUGGGCAUUAAAAAAGAAAAGCUUUUUUUUCGUUAUUUUCAGUUGCAUUAAAUACCACAAUCUCAUUUUAGUUGAUUUUUUUUCUAACUAUCCCAUUGUCACGAUCCGUCGUGAUCGCUGGGUGAAAGCGGGCAGGCGAUGCGAGCAGAAAGCAGGCAGGCACCCAGAAUACGGAGAAACUGGGGAUUUAUUCAGGUAUGGGACAGGCAGGACAAAACAGUAGCUCGAACAUCGACAAACAUCAAUGACGGACAAGAAACUAAGGUAAGACACGGACUGAAAUAGACGAGACUGGGCGAAAAUAAGUGGACACAGCUGGGCAAGAUCUGGGAAGCCACGUGGAUAAUCAGGGGGCGUGGCACACACGAGGAUCGUACGAGCCGGGCAUGACACCCAUCUAUAAUUUUUUUUUUUUUAACAAAGCUUCAUGUUAGAAGACUGGGGAAGUGCGAGACCUUUAGUUUUAAGAAAAGCAAGUUACCAACCGAGAACCUAAUAAUGAAUAAGCAACAGCUGAGGUUUGUCCCUCUGAAAUAAGACUCACUGGAAGCUGACGUCGACGAUAUUUACGCUACGUUUAUAAUGGUUAAUUUUUAAUUAAAAGUACAAUUUUCAACACUCAGUCAUUUUUUCUAUUUUGUGUUCCAGAAAAAAGGAGAGUGUACAUGUUGAGAGAGAUUUUUUUUUGAAGUGUGGAUCAAGAAUAAAAAAAAAAGAAAUCUGUCUCUAUUAAGACCCCAGAAACGAACGGAGUAUUUUAGAAUGUGCUUACACAGCUAAGAUGGUUAUGUAAUCAACAUUCCUAGUUGUUUUUCAUACAUAUUUUAAUUUUUUUUUGUUUUUUUUUUUCUUGACUUUUAAUUUUUCAUUUUUAAUUGUGUCUGUUGGGGAAUAUGUUUUGCAGAAGUGGUUUAUGAUGAUAUAUUUUUGGCUUUUUUUUCGUUUUUUUUAUACACCCAUUGUUUUCCUGCAAGUCGGUGAAAGAAAAAAAAAACUAUGAACUAUAAAUCUAAAGUCUCUGGACCCCACAUGGCUUACAAUAGUCAUUCCCAUAGAAUAUCUAUAAUUUAAUCUCACCUACAAUCAAUACCUGUUAUUUGGUAAGAUGGAUGAGUUAGAGUAGGUAAGACUAUCAACCAGACUCAAUGUCUGCUCUACAUCAAUUCACAAAUUAUGAAAAUGAGACAUGCUCUCGAUAUUAACCUGUGAAUUACUUUCGUGCUGAUUAGCAUUACUUAAGGCUAAAUGGGAGCACAUGCUAAAAGCAGGUAGAAGGAUACCAUUGUUAGAAUCCAGAGCCCAGCUGUUUGAAGUCCUUGUAUUAAAAGAGAUCAAGGUUGGAGACAUGUCUUUAAAAGCCCACUUGCCAUUUGAAGCAGAUAAUUUUUAUGUUAUUAUUACUGAUAUUAAUUGAAUGCUUACAGAUGAAUGCUGACUUGUCAGAAAUGUUGGCCUCAAGCUAAUCAUGGCAAUGAAUUUGAUCGCUUUGCCAUGUCAUAAGUACUGGAUCCUCCAAUGGUCCUCGGCCCAGCUGAUGAAGAGGAGUCACCUUGGAUUAACAGCACAGCUAACGCGUACAUUUCACUCUCCAUCAGCCCCAUGCAUAACAGAUCCUGGUAAGUUCUUCUUGAUCUUUUUUGGACCAAAAGAUGGGGCUCAUGAAAUGCUGUCAUCUGUUCUUCCUCUGUGAGUUUCUGUCAAUGUCACACAGGGGGAAAAGGUAACGCUGUCUGACAAGCAUCACCUUUGCUCUGGCAUCCUAUGACCAGAUGGGUAGAAGUCUGCGUGACAUCUCCCAUUUGUGAAGUGGCUGUGCUGGAAAACUGUCCCCUGCCUGCACAGCCCCACCUGGUGUUAGCCUUUGGUACUGCAAGCUGUACUUCCCAUCGUUCACCUUCCUGGCUCGUUGACUGGCAGAUGGUGACCCACAGAAAGACACGUUGAAAUCCAUUUCACACAUGCAUGCUAAAAUCGCAGCAUUGUUCUUUUUUUCUGAUGAUUGCCUGCCUGAAACAGUAAUUCCUCCCGGUCGGUGUCCCUCACCGCUGCAACCUCCCCCAUGAGGUCUAACUUUACAGUUAUUAUGAGUGUCACCUGUUCUUUCCUGAAGUUACGCGUGGUCUCCCACAAGCUGACGACACAGCGGGACGGUAUUUUCAGCUUUCGCUGUCUUGCUCGCUGUCUCUCUGCGUUUUCCGCAUCUUCAUGCUGUCAGUGACUCAUAAUUUUGAUACUGUUUAGUCAUUCUUCCACCAUUUUUAUUCCUUAUUCAGUUUUAAUAUUAUUUUCUUAAUGCUUUUUGUUCAUUUGAUAGUUUGUCAUAAUUCUUUUGUUCUUUUCCAGUUUUUUUUUUUUGUUAUUUUGUUGUAAUUAUUACACAAUAAACAUAUCCACACAUGACCACACUCUCCUACAAACACACCGAUUCACACAAACCUGUACACAUACGUAGAUGUGUAUUUACUCUUGUCAAAUAAAUUAAUAGCUAAUGUGA